rnacentral:rRNA from 1 species
GUGAGGAAUAUUGGUCAAUGGGCGAAAGCCUGAACCAGCCAUGUCGCGUGAAGGAUGAAGGUCCUAUGGAUUGUAAACUUCUUUUGCAGGAGGGUAAAGUGAGCUACGUGUAGUUCAUUGCAAGUACCCUGCGAAUAAGCAUCGGCUAACUCCGUGCCAGCAGCCGCGGUAAUACGGAGGAUGCGAGCGUUAUCCGGAUUUAUUGGGUUUAAAGGGUGCGUAGGCGGACUAAUUAGUCAGCGGUGAAAUUUUGCGGCUCAACCGUAAAACUGCCGUUGAAACUGUUAGUCUUGAGUGCGGUAGAGGUAGGCGGAAUGUGUGGUGUAGCGGUGAAAUGCUUAGAUAUCACACAGAACACCGAUUGCGUAGGCAGCUUACUGGAGCGCAACUGACGCUGAGGCACGAAAGCGUGGGGAUCGAACAGGAUUAGAAACCCUAGUAGUCC